UCCUGGUUAACCCAGGCAGUCUCAUUAGAGUUCCCACCUUAACGUGUUGGCAACUAAUGAUAAGGGUUGCGCUCGUUGCGGGACUUAACCCAACACCUCACGGCACGAGCUGACGACAGCCAUGCAGCACCUGUGCAGCAGUCCCGAAGGAAAUAUACAUCUCUGUAUACGUCUACUGCAUGUCAAGCCUGGGUAAGGUUCUUCGCGUUGCAUCGAAUUAAACCACAUGCUCCACUGCUUGUGCGGGUCCCCGUCAAUUCUUUUGAGUUUCAGCCUUGCGACUGUACUCCCCAGGCGGUAUACUUAACGCCUUAGCUACGGCACAACCAGGGUUGAGUCCGGUUACACCUAGUAUACAUCGUUUACAGCAAGGACUAC
rnacentral:misc_RNA from 1 species